rnacentral:rRNA from 1 species
GACGAACGCUGGCGGCGUGCUUAACACAUGCAAGUCGAACGGAAGGGCCCUGCUUUUGUGGGGUGCUCGAUUGGGGAACGGGUGAGAAACACGUGAGUAACCUGCCCUUAACUUUGGGAUAACUCCAGGAAACUGGGGCUAUUACCGGAGAGGAGCUCCUGCGCCAUGUGGGGGGUAGGAAAGUUUCGGCGGUGGGGGAUGGACUCGAGGCUUAUCAGCUUGUUGGUGGGGUAGUGGCUGACAAAGCCUUUGACGGGUAGCCGGCCUGAGAGGGUGAACGGCGACAAUGGGACUGAGAUACGGACCAGACUCCUACGGGCGGCAGCAGUGGGGAAUAUUGCACAAUGGGCGGAAGCCUGAUGCAGCAACGCCGCGUGCGGGAUGACGGCCUUCGGGUUGUAAACCGCUUUCGCCUGUGACGAAGCGUGAGUGACGGUAAUGGGUAAAGAAGCACCGGCUAACUACGUG